rnacentral:rRNA from 1 species
GGUUAAGCGACUAAGCGUACACGGUGGAUGCCCUGGCAGUCAGAGGCGAUGAAGGACGUGCUAAUCUGCGAUAAGCGUCGGUAAGGUGAUAUGAACCGUUAUAACCGGCGAUUUCCGAAUGGGGAAACCCAGUGUGAUUCGUCACACUAUCAUUAACUGAAUCCAUAGGUUAAUGAGGCGAACCGGGGGAACUGAAACAUCUAAGUACCCCGAGGAAAAGAAAUCAACCGAGAUUCCCCCAGUAGCGGCGAGCGAACGGGGAGGAGCCCAGAGCCUGAAUCAGUGUGUGUGUUAGUGGAAGCGUCUGGAAAGGCGCGCGAUACAGGGUGACAGCCCCGUACACAAAAAUGCACAUAUUGUGAGCUCGAUGAGUAGGGCGGGACACGUGGUAUCCUGUCUGAAUAUGGGGGGACCAUCCUCCAAGGCUAAAUACUCCUGACUGACCGAUAGUGAACCAGUACCGUGAGG